rnacentral:sRNA from 1 species
GAAAUGGUGAAUAUGCCUCGUGGGAUAUAUCACUCUGCAUUAAAAGGAGGUGCCCGCUCAGACCAAGGAAAGACUGUAGCAGGAAUCCCCAAUUUUAUAUUGAAAAUGUAUGAAACAAACAAGCAACCAGGACUGAAACCUGGCCUUGCAGAGUAAAGAUGGAAAACCAUUGAACAGACUGAUGGCCAGCAGAGGGCGAAGUUUCAAGCAGACUUCACUUGCUCUUGUACAUGAGGUAGGUUCCCAUGUCCUCUUCUUUAUGUUUUAGUGUUUUCUCCCUUCAUGAUAUGUUUAAGAAGUUGUUUGUUUGUUUAGAAAUAAUUUUUUUGAUCAUAAUUAAUGUAAGUUGCUUUUAAAGGCCACCAAAAUAGUUGACCCAACUGAAUACUCAAAUAUUUCAAUGUAUUUCUGAAAGAAACUGCCAUGUUUUCCCCCACUGCCCAGCGUAUUUAUUAGGGAGUAAUGUCUAGGAAUUUGCUUUACUUCAUCAAUGCUUAACUGUCGUUAUUCAGAAUAAAUAUCAAUUUAUUGUUUAAAG